rnacentral:misc_RNA from 1 species
UCACUACUUGCGUAGGCAGUCUGGCUAGAGUCCCCACCAUCACGUGCUGGUAACUAACCACAGGGGUUGCGCUCGUUGCGCCACUUAAGGCAACACCUCACGGCACGAGCUGACGACAGCCAUGCAGCACCUUCCGGCCCGUCCCGAAGGAAAGCUCCCUUUCAGGAGCCGGCAGGCCGGAUUUAGCCCAGGUAAGGUGGGGAUGACGUGUCGUUACCUUA